UACGUAGGGUGCGAGCGUUGUCCGGAAUUAUUGGGCGUAAAGAGCUCGUAGGCGGUGUGUCACGUCGGCCGUGAAAACCUGGGGCUUAACUCUGGGCGUGCGGUCGAUACGGGCAUCACUAGAGUUCGGCAGGGGAGACUGGAAUUCCUGGUGUAGCGGUGAAAUGCGCAGAUAUCAGGAGGGACACCGGUGGCGAAGGCGGGGUCUCUGGGCCGAUACUGACGCUGAGGAGCGAAAGCAUGGGUAGCGAACAGG
rnacentral:rRNA from 1 species